UACGAAGGGGGCUAGCGCUGUUCGGAUUUACUGGGCGUAAAGCGCACGUAGGCGGAUAGCUAAGUGAGGGGUGAAAUCCCAGGGCUCAACCCUGGAACUGCCUUUCAUACUGGCUAUCUAGAGUCCGGAAGAGGUGAGUGGAACUCCUAGUGUAGAGGUGGAAUUCGUAGAUAUUAGGAAGAACACCAGUGGCGAAGGCGGCUCACUGGUCCGGUACUGACGCUGAGGUGCGAAAGCGUGGGGAGCAAACAGG
rnacentral:rRNA from 1 species